CAGUGAAAUGCGUAGAUAUCUGGAGGAACAUCAGUGGCGAAGGCGACUUCCUGGCUUAAAACUGACGCUGAGGUGCGAAAGCGUGGGUAGCGAACGGGAUUAGAUACCCCGGUAGUCCACGCCGUAAACGAUGGUCAACUAGUUGUUGGUCUUAUUAAAAAGAUUAGUAACGAAGCUAACGCGAUAAGUUGACCGCCUGGGGAGUACGGUCGCAAGAUUAAAACUCAAAGGGAAUUGAACGGGGGCCCGCCACAAGCGGGGGAGCAUGUGGUCUUAAUUCGAUGGCAACGGCGAAAGAACCUUACCAUCCCCUUGACAUGUAGUGAACUUUCUAGAAGAUAGAUUUGGGGCCUUCGGGAAGCACUAACACAGGUGCUGCAUGGGCUGUCGUCAGCUCGUGUCGGGAGAUGUUGGGUUUAAGUCCCGCAACGAAGCGCAACCCUUUAUCUUUAGUUGCUACCAUUUAAGUUGAGAACCUCCUAAAAGAGACUUGCCGGGUUGAUAAACCCGGAAGGAAGGCGGGGAACGACCGUCCAAGUUCAUCAUGGCCCUUAAUGGGAUGGGGCUACAUCACGUGGCUACAAUGGGGGGGUACAAAGAGGCAGCCAACUGGUCAACAGUGCCGCGAAUCUCCAAAAAACCUCUCGUAAGUCCGGAUCGGAGUCUGCAAAUCGUACUCCCGUGAAGUCGGAAAUCGCUUAGAAAUCGUGGAAACAAAAUGCCCCGGGGAAUACGUUCCCCGGCCUUGUACACACCGCCCGUCACACCAUGGGAGUGGAUUGCAAAAGAAGUAGGUAGCCUAACCUUCGGGAGGGCGCUUACCACUUUGUGGUUCAUGACUGGGGUGAAGUCGUAACAAGGUAAC
rnacentral:rRNA from 1 species